rnacentral:rRNA from 2 species
ACAUGCAGUCGAGCGAACUGAUUAGAAGCUUGCUUCUAUGACGUUAGCGGCGGACGGGUGAGUAACACGUGGGCAACCUGCCUGUAAGACUGGGAUAACUUCGGGAAACCGAAGCUAAUACCGGAUAGGAUCUUCUCCUUCAUGGGAGAUGAUUGAAAGAUGGUUUCGGCUAUCACUUACAGAUGGGCCCGCGGUGCAUUAGCUAGUUGGUGAGGUAACGGCUCACCAAGGCAACGAUGCAUAGCCGACCUGAGAGGGUGAUCGGCCACACUGGGACUGAGACACGGCCCAGACUCCUACGGGAGGCAGCAGUAGGGAAUCUUCCGCAAUGGACGAAAGUCUGACGGAGCAACGCCGCGUGAGUGAUGAAGGCUUUCGGGUCGUAAAACUCUGUUGUUAGGGAAGAACAAGUACGAGAGUAACUGCUCGUACCUUGACGGUACCUAACCAGAAAGCCACGGCUAACUACGUGCCAGCAGCCGCGGUAAUACGUAGGUGGCAAGCGUUAUCCGGAAUUAUUGGGCGUAAAGCGCGCGCAGGCGGUUUCUUAAGUCUGAUGUGAAAGCCCACGGCUCAACCGUGGAGGGUCAUUGGAAACUGGGGAACUUGAGUGCAGAAGAGAAAAGCGGAAUUCCACGUGUAGCGGUGAAAUGCGUAGAGAUGUGGAGGAACCCAGUGGCGAAGGCGCUUUUUGGUCUGUACUGACACUGAGGCGCGAAGCGUGGGGAGCAAACAGGNUAGAUACCCUGGUAGUCCACGCCGUAACAAUGAGUGCUAGUGAUAGAGGGUUCCGCCCUUAGUGCUGCGCUACGCAUUAACACUCCGCCUGGNNAGACGGUCGCAGACUGAANCUCAAGGAUUGAGGGGGCCCCACAANCGGGGAGAUGUGGUUAAUUCAAGCACGCGAAAACUUACAGGCUUGACUCUCUGACACCUAA